rnacentral:rRNA from 1 species
CCUACGGGGGGCAGCAGUGGGGAAUCUUGCGCAAUGGGCGAAAGCCUGACGCAGCCAUGCCGCGUGAAUGAUGAAGGUCUUAGGAUUGUAAAAUUCUUUCACCGGGGACGAUAAUGACGGUACCCGGAGAAGAAGCCCCGGCUAACUUCGUGCCAGCAGCCGCGGUAAUACGAAGGGGGCUAGCGUUGCUCGGAAUUACUGGGCGUAAAGGGAGCGUAGGCGGAUAGUUUAGUCAGAGGUGAAAGCCCAGGGCUCAACCUUGGAAUUGCCUUUGAUACUGGCUAUCUUGAGUGUGGGAGAGGUAUGUGGAACUCCGAGUGUAGAGGUGAAAUUCGUAGAUAUUCGGAAGAACACCAGUGGCGAAGGCGACAUACUGGCCCAUUACUGACGCUGAGGCUCGAAAGCGUGGGGAGCAAACAGGAUUAGAUACCCUGGUAGUCCACGCUGUAAACGAUGAGUGNUAGUUGUCGGCGAGCAUGCGUGUCGGUGACGCGAGCUACGACAUAAGCACUCCGCCGUGGGAGGUACGGUCGCGAGAUUAAACGUUAAACGGUAAGUUAGACGGCGUGAGACGNGCCGACGACGACGACGAGGGAGUAGG